AUUGAACGCUGGCAGCAGGCCUAACACAUGCAAGUCGAACGGUAACAGGAAGAAGCUUGCUUCUUUGCUGACGAGUGGCGGACGGGUGAGUAAUGUCUGGGAAACUGCCUGAUGGAGGGGGAUAACUACUGGAAACGGUAGCUAAUACCGCAUAACGUCGCAAGACCAAAGAGGGGGACCUUCGGGCCUCUUGCCAUCGGAUGUGCCCAGAUGGGAUUAGCUAGUAGGUGGGGUAACGGCUCACCUAGGCGACGAUCCCUAGCUGGUCUGAGAGGAUGACCAGCCACACUGGAACUGAGACACGGUCCAGACUCCUACGGGAGGCAGCAGUGGGGAAUAUUGCACAAUGGGCGCAAGCCUGAUGCAGCCAUGCCGCGUGUAUGAAGAAGGCCUUCGGGUUGUAAAGUACUUUCAGCGGGGAGGAAGGGAGUAAAGUUAAUACCUUUGCUCAUUGACGUUACCCGCAGAAGAAGCACCGGCUAACUCCGUG
rnacentral:rRNA from 1 species